rnacentral:rRNA from 1 species
GACGAACGCUGGCGGCGUGCUUAACACAUGCAAGUCGAACGGAAAGGCCCUGCUUUUGUGGGGUUCUCGAGUGGCGAACGGGUGAGUAACACGUGAGUAACCUGCCCUUGACUUUGGUAUAACUUCAGGAAACUGGGGCUAAUACCGGAUAGGAGCUCCUGCUGCAUGGUGGGGGUUGGAAAGUUUCGGCGGUUGGGGAUGGACUCGCGGCUUAUCAGCUUGUUGGUGGGGUAGUGGCUUACCAAGGCUUUGACGGGUAGCCGGCCUGAGAGGGUGACCGGCGACAUUGGGACUGAGAGACGGACCAGACUGCAACGGGAGGCAGCGGGGGGGAAUAUUGCACAGUGGGAGGAAGCCUGAUGCAGAAACGCCGCGUGCGGGAUGACGGCCUUCGGGUUGUAAACCGCUUUAGCCUGUGACGAAGCGGGAGUGACGGUAAUGGGUAAAGAAGCACCGGCUAACUACGUG